rnacentral:lncRNA from 1 species
GUGGGGGAUGGGCAGCCUGGACAAGGGGCUGAGGCCCAGCAGCGGGGUGGUGGCCAUGGCGGCCGCGGCAGCCAUGGCCGAGGGGGCAGCCAGAGGGUCCACGGGCAGCUCCGGGCUCUGCUCCUGCUUCACCAUGAUGGAGCACAGUUUGUGUCCCAGCGCCCAUGCUCCAUGCUCUGCAUCUUGGGUGGUGUCCUCCAUCUUGAUGGGCACAAGGGGGCUCUGGGGCGCUGAGUC